rnacentral:rRNA from 1 species
GAGUUCGGGCCGCACGCGCGCUACACUGACCGAACCAGCGAGUUUAUUUCCUUGGCCGGAAGGCCUGGGUAAUCUUGUGAAAUUCGGUCGUGAUGGGGAUAGAGCAUUGCAAUUAUUGCUCUUCAACGAGGAAUACCUAGUAAGCGUGAGUCAUCAGCUCGCGUUGAAUUCGUCCCUGCCCUUUGUACACACCGCCCGUCGCUACUACCGAUUGAAUGGCUUAGUGAGGCCUUCGGAUUGGCUUCUGGGAGCCGGCAACGGCACCUAGUCGCUGAGAAGUUUGACGAACUUGGUCAUUUAGAGGAAGUAAAAGUCGUAACAAGGUUUCCGUAGGUGAACCUGCGGAAGGAUCAUUAAUGAAUUUUAGGACGUUCUUUUUAGAAGUCCGACCAUUUCAUUUUCUUACACUGUGCACACACUUCUUUUUACACACACUUUUAACACAUUAGUAUAAGAAUGUAAUAGUCUCUUAAUUGAGCAUAAACAAAAACAAAACUUUCAGCAACGGAUCUCUUGGCUCUCGCAUCGAUGAA